AGUAAAGUCAGCUAAAUAAGCUCUUGGGCCCAUACCCCAAACAUGUUGGUUAGAAUCCUUCCUUUGCUA
rnacentral:tRNA from 1 species